rnacentral:rRNA from 1 species
UGGGGAAUUUUGGACAAUGGGCGAAAGCCUGAUCCAGCAAUGCCGCGUGUGUGAAGAAGGCCUUCGGGUUGUAAAGCACUUUUGUCCGGAAAGAAAUCCUCUGGGUUAAUACCUCGGGGGGAUGACGGUACCGGAAGAAUAAGCACCGGCUAACUACGUGCCAGCAGCCGCGGUAAUACGUAGGGUGCAAGCGUUAAUCGGAAUUACUGGGCGUAAAGCGUGCGCAGGCGGUUUUGUAAGACGGAUGUGAAAUCCCCGGGCUUAACCUGGGAACUGCAUUCGUGACUGCGAGGCUAGAGUAUGGCAGAGGGGGGUAGAAUUCCACGUGUAGCAGUGAAAUGCGUAGAGAUGUGGAGGAAUACCGAUGGCGAAGGCAGCCCCCUGGGCCAAUACUGACGCUCAUGCACGAAAGCGUGGGGAGCAAACA